UAGGAAUAGGCACAGAGUAGGGGCUGAUGUGGUUGCCUGGUGGAAGCGUUUCACUCAUACAUUCCCAGGAGCCCAGGAGGUGGCCUGAGGGAGGGAGUCGCUGGAGCAGAUGACCAAUGGAAUGUGAGAGCCCGUCAGAGGGCACCUGCCACUGGAUUGAAGGCCACCCUCAUCCAGGACCACCUCAUCUCCGAUCCUUCCCUGAAUCCCAUCUGCAGAGACCCUGCUUCCUAGUGAGCUUACACUGACUAGUACUUGCAGCCAGUACAUGGAUGUGUCUUUCCUUUUUGUGGAGGGGACACAGUUCAACCCACAGUGACACCUUUUUUCUGUGAAAGAUAAAUGACAAUAAAAUCAAAUGCUGUGUUGGGUUCCUGUUGGUGUGA